UCCCAGGGUAUGUGUGGGGUUGGUCCCUGCUGUUGCUGGGAUGCUCACAAAAUGCUGGAACCUCAUGAGUAGAGCUAUUUGAUUAUGUUAAUAAUGAUAUGUACUUCCUGCUGGCUGCAGAUAACUGCUUCACAUUUUGAAGGUAAGGAUGUUGAGAUCAUUGUGGACAAUGGAAGCCUGGCUUGUGAAGUUCCAGUGGGAAACAAAGCCUGCAGGGCCCUUUGUGUGAAGAACCUGUGGCUUCAGGUCAGCUGGCGUAGAAGAAUUAGCUGUGAUUAACAAGAGAACAGAAGCACUGAAGUAAAACCUUUGCUUUGCUGGGACAAUGCAUGCUGGUCAGCUGGGUCAGAAGAAUCAUCUGGAAUCAAGAAGAAAUCAGCAUCAUUGAGGUAUAGUCUUCUGGGAGGGGUUUCCUGAGGGUCAAAACACAGAAGCUAUGUUCCAGAAGCCAAGGUUGUACUUUGUGGUGGCAGCCGGACUCGGUGGUACUUGUUAAGCGUCACCCAGGUGUUUCUUGCUUUGAAAGCCUGAAGGGGUCAUGGAGAGCAGCUGAGGCUUGGCACUGCAGUGCAGGGCUGGAGUUUCUGAAGUCAGCCUAGGAGAGGCUAUGGGUAAAAGUGCAACUCAGUUGCAACAAGGCACCCUAGCAGUUUGGGAGAUGCCAGUACCAUGGGAUGACCAGCAAGAACAUCAACAGCCAUGGAGUGGAGCCCGCUAAAGCCUAGAAGACAAGCUACAUGCACUACAAAGGGCGGAGCUGGAGAAGUGACCCAAAGCCCUUGAAGGAGCCCAGAAGAUCGUGAGUGAAUCCUAGGACUGAAUGGCUGCUGGACUAGGCGGGACAGAAGCCACUGACAACAGGAGUCCUAUAUGAUAUAUAGCAUAUAUCAUAAUUUUGGAGCUUGUAAUUGAUUCAAAUUGUUUAAAAUGUUGAAAGAAUCAGCAAACCUGGGCCAGGAAGACACUUGCUCCCAAGGCUGUCAGUGUGAGUUCACUUGGUGGAGGGAGAGAACCAACUCUGGACUUCUGUUCACUCACCCCCACAUGUGCAUCCACAUACACAACACCCAGAAUAAAUAAAUAUGUGCAAAAAUAAUAAUUCACACAAAUGGGUCAAGUUCAAGUCUACCAAUGUGCAUUUGUGGUCUCUUCAUUUUUCUUGCAAAAUUGAGUUAAUCUCUCUCUCUCUCUCUCUCUCUCUCUCUCUCUCUCUCUCUUCUCUCACACACACACAUCAUUAAAGGAAUAUUCAUCCAGAUGCUAUACGUUGUCUUCCAUUUUCCACAGGGGUUGAAGGAUAAGAUGCAUUAGCAGUAGUAGAUUUAUUCUCAAAGAGUUGAAACUAAAACCCUAGGUAACAAUUGUUGGACCCUGUCCAAGUUUCCAAGUGAAGCCCAGAAAUGUGAUUAUAUAAUCAGUUUUUUUUUCAAAAUUUGUACAAAGGAAGGGCCAGAAUGCCUUAAGAUGCCAACCUACACCCACUUCAAGGUCUCUGACCUUCAUAAUUCCUGUACUGACACAUGGCACUGCAGUGACAAAGGCACCUUUUGGAGACCUGGCCAGCAGAAUCCAUCUUGAAAUCCUAAUAUAGUCCCUACUAACAUUUUGUAUUAGACAGUUUAUUUUCAGUGGUUGUUCUAUAUCUAUCAGUAUCCAUAACUUCUACCUACCAGAUGCCAGUUGGCACAAUCCAUCCUCCCCACAGAUGAGACAAAGUUUCUUAGGAAGGCAACAUUGAACCUUCCACUUCACUAAGAACAGUUAGAUUAAUGGGAAGUUGAUUUAUGGAUACUUUUUAGCUUGCAUUGCAAUUUAACCAAGGGGGUAUGGUUUCCACAAUUACCUGAACUUCCCGUAGUACCAGUUCAGAUGGUCACAUGAUUAGGACACACCUGCCAGAAUGGAAGUACAUGGAGUGGAGCUGGGAGAAACUUGGUCAGGUCCUGCUUCGGUCUUCUACAGUUUACCUCUUGUGGCCUGUAGAUAAAGAAACUGCUAUAAACUAUCUUUGUUUUUAUUUAAAAUCUUUAACACUUUUCAUUACCAAAAUUGUGUUCUUAUGCUUGAAGGAAGUUAUCUAUUCACCAAUAGUAAUAAUAAAUUCUUUGCAGUUGAGUGGAAAGACUGGCUUAUGUUUCUUUCACAAUAUUAAGGAUAUUAGAAAGUUGUUGUCUUAUAUAAAGGGAAUCUGAGAGUCCAUGUCUCAAACAGCACUGGAAAAUGGAUCAAAGGGGAGUUCAAGUAAUAAUAAUGUUAUUGCAUUUGUCCAUUAUUCUAAAGUCUUUUUCCCUGUGUUAUUUAAAAACAAAAUACAUUUAUAUAUAAAAUGUGAUACAAUUUAGAAUUAAAGCAUACAGUGAAAAACAUGAGUCUCUUAGUGUUUUCAAAUUCUUGGCAUGUUUGCGAUUUAGGAAAGAGAAAUAAAAAAUGCCCAGUACUUAAAAAUUUGUGAUGUUUUAAAUAUACUUCUAGGAAUCUUCACAAUCUAAUUUUGAAUAGCUCAAAAUAGUGUAUCAUUUAGGAAGAAUGACAAGAAAUGCAAUUACAAAAGUCAAAAUGUUCACCAAUAAGCUCACACACAUAGUGUAUUCUGUGUAAGUCCUUGGGAUGCCCUUCCAGGGUAAUGUGUCUUCAAUGGAAAAGAUGUCCUUAAACGAGCAGGAUCCAUAUGGA